rnacentral:rRNA from 1 species
AUGCACGCUGGCGGCGUGCCUAAUCCAUGCCAGUCGAGCGAACGGACGAGAAGCUUGCUUUUCUGAUGUUAGCGGCGGACGGGUGAGUAACACGUGGAUAACCUACCUAUAAGACUGGGAUAACUUCGGGAAACCGGAGCUAAUACCGGAUAAUAUUUUGCACCGCCUGGUUCAAAAGUGAAAGACGGUCUUGCUGUCACUUAUAGAUGGAUCCGCGCUGCAUUAGCUAGUUGGUAAGGUAACGGCUUACCAAGGCAACGAUGCAUAGCCGAACUGAGAGGGUGAUCGGCCACACUGGAACUGAGACACGGUCCAGACUCCUACGGGAGGCAGCAGUAGGGAAUCUUCCGCAAUGGGCGAAAGCCUGACGGAGCAACGCCGCGUGAGUGAUGAAGGUCUUCGGAUCGUAAAACUCUGUUAUUAGGGAAGAACAUAUGUGUAAGUAACUGUGCACAUCUUGACGGUACCUAAUCAGAAAGCCACGGCUAACUACGUG